AUGAACAGUGACCCCAGAGAGCUGAGGACACCUCGGGAGGGUGAGAAACCUCAGCGGGGAAGGAGCCCCUGAGCUCCCAAGCGCCCAGGCCUGGGAGUGCAGCAGAGCUGGCCAUUGCAGCUGCGGAGGUGAGGACUCCAGUGCGAGCUGAGCGGGAACAGCCCCUUCCCAUCACUGAGGCCGCAGGGGCACGGGAUGCUCCCAGUGCCAAUGGCUGAGGGAGCCUCGGGGGCUGCUGCUGGAGGAGCGACAAACGCACACGGAGCAUUUCAGGCACGGCAAGGACAGGGCACUGCUCUGCCUGCUCCCGCCGCCGCUUCCUUUGCUCCCGCCCACAGGCGUUCCCGGCAGCUCUGCUCUCUCGGCGCUCGGACGUGCUUUGGGCUCUUCCUCACUCGGCAAACACGCAGCUUGGUCUCGCCAUGCACCUGGCACAUCUCAUCCUCACCGUCUUCCUGGGCCAGCUCCUGGUGGCUGUGGCUAGAGCCCAGGUGCAGCAGGAGCCAUUCCUGGAGACCACCGAGGGCACCGGCAUCAACAUCACCUGCUCACACUCCAGCAAACGGAUGGGCGAUACGAUCCAUUUCUACCGUCAGCUCCCAGGCCAAGGCCCCGAAUUCCUCGUCCUCGCUGCUAGAGGCUCCAAGGAUGCGCCGGGCAUUGCAGGAACGCUGUCGGUGUCGGAGGACGGGCGCUGGAGCGCGCUGUGGCUGGCUGCGCCCCGGCGCGGGGACGCGGCCGUGUAUUACUGCGCGCUGGGGACCACGGGCAGAGGAGCCGGGGCUGCGGCCGGGCACGAACCGCCGCGGGCGGGGCCGGGCGGGGCCAGCAGGGGCCGCUGCCGCUCCGCCCGCCGGGCUCCCGGGGCGCGGCUCCGCAGCUCCUUCCUCUGCCCCGAGCCCGCCCGCACCGACAGCGCCGAUGGCACCGAAAAGGCCGACACGCUCCGGGACUGCUGGCCCUCCCUUUAA